UGGAGGUGAAGGUGGAGAUCCCCCGUGCCAGCAUGCGCAUCAGCUCUCAGCAUCCUCACACAGUUGUGGUCCCGCAUAUAUGCCGGACAGCUUCCACACAAGCUCGCACCACAACACACAAACCUCAAUCUGGAGUAAUGACAUUACCACAUGGGGAUUUCUAUUCUACCCACCCAAACAUUCAGCCAGACGUCUGGGUGUCACAUCCCAUCCGCAUCUGACGUCGACCAUUGUGGACGUUGAAACAUUGUGUUAAAAAUGGGACGAAGCCUUCACGUCUACUCCUGUUAUGGAUGUUGAAACAUGGUGUUAAAAAUGGCAAGAGGUGGUGGUUAACUUUUAAUUACUGCUCAGAUGCUUUUAUCAUUAAAGUUUAUACUGUGAUCACUUCAA